AACACAUGCUAGUGCCUUUCAGUGUAUGA
rnacentral:piRNA from 1 species